GGCACAGAGGAGGAGAGGGAGGGAGCGCUCUUACCCCUCCACAGGGUCCUGCGCUCCGGGCGCGGCGGGGCGGGGGCUGCGAGGCGCCAGCG